rnacentral:rRNA from 1 species
UUCUUAUUAAUUUAUCAUAAGUAUCACCUGCUCAAUGAUAAGUUUAAAUAGCCGCGGAAAUUUAACUGUGCUAAGGUAGCAUAAUCAUUAGUCCUUUAAUUGAGGACUUGCAUGAAAGGUGGAACAUUUCAAUUACUUUCUUACUUAGUUUUAUUAAAUUUUAAUUAAGAAUCAAAAUGUUCUUAUUUUUAAAAUAGACGACAAGACCCUUUUGAACUUUACUAUUGUUUAGCUGGGGCAGCUAAAAAAUAAUAAUCUUUUUUUUCUAAUUUCAAUAGAAGAUCCAAUAAAAUUGAUUACACGAACAAGUUACCAUAGGGAUAACAGCGUAAUGCCUUUUUAAAGUUCUUAUUUAAAAAGAAGAUUGCGACCUCGAUGUUGAAUUAAUGUUUCUUUAAUAGUGCAGUAACUUUAAAAGUAGGUCUGUUCGACCUAUAAAACAUUACA